GGGGAUUUAGCUCAGCGGCAUAAGCGCCUGCCUUGCAAGCAGGCAGUCUUGAGUUCGAUCCCCA
rfam:Cavia porcellus supercont2_4 genomic scaffold, whole genome shotgun sequence.